rnacentral:tRNA from 1 species
CAGCGUGUAGCUCAGUCAGUCAGAGCGCCGGGCUCUCAACCCGGAGGGCGCGGGGGCGGAUCCCGCCACGCUGG